CAUAAUUGACAUUUGAAAUCAUGGCAGAAAGAAGUGAAACAAGCUCUGAAUUUGAAAUUAUCUGGAAGGAUACAUAUGAUAGCCCUGCUGGAUGGCUGGAGACUCGUGACGAACUUGACCAAAGAGCGAACAAGCCAUAUUUCAAAGGAAAGGCCAAUAAAAUACUGAAUCAAGGUAAUCGGCGACUGAUAAAAUUCUACGGCUUUUACUAUACUGGAGAGAAUGUGAUGGCCCAAGUUACCAGCUGCGAGGGUAAACACUCACCACCCAUAUUCCUUCAUCAAAAGAGAUCAGGUGAAUCAAAAGAUCCUAAAAAAUUCACAGUGAAAGUCGAUAUUACUGACGCCAAAGAAAAGAAAGGAAAAUGGAAAUUGUCUGUAUAUGUAUAUUACGUCGUCGGCAAACCACUUACUUCGGAGAGAGAGAUAACUGAUGAAGAUUAAGCGACGAACCUGAUACGUCGACCAUAUUACUCCAAUUGAGUCUGAUCACGUAUAAUCGACUUAUCUUUCUAUACUUUCUCUUCAUCUUUCAUUUACCUUUACUAUUGUAAUCAACUAAUCUUUAAGUUCAAUUGAAUAUAUAGGUCUGUAUAUAUACGAUCCGUUCUGUAUUUCCUGAUUCAAUCUAAUACAAGAAAAACAGGCGGAGAAAAAAUUACUCCUUUGACAACAAAAAUCGUCUGAUCCUCAAGUAAAACAAACACAAAAACAACCAAGAAGUAUCUUGCUAGUCUAGAAACAUAAAGAGUAAAUAAUCUAUUCAUUGCACGAUUGUCUUUUGUUGUUCUCAUUUCUAUAAAAAUUUAAUCCCAAUGAUAAUGCUUUUGUAACUUCAGAUAUUAAAUUUGGGACCAUGAAACUAGGGGGAUAUUUUUUUUAAAUCAAGUGGAGCAAAACUGUGUCUAAUCCGAAAUGGGUGGAGUGAGCCCCGCUGGUAAUCUGAAUUUACAUUUAACAGGGGCCGCGGAACCGGGGGGGGGGGGGGGGGCUUCGGCCCCCACUUUUUUCCAAACCGUGUACAAAAAUGUAAAAAUGACCAUAUGAUUGUGAUUUUUAGCAUGGUCAGCCCCCCACUUUUGGCUCAGCCCCCCCCACCACUUUGAAAACCGUUUAAUAGAGCCAUGCUGUGGUUUAUUUUCUUAUUGAUUUUAGCUUUUAAUACGUAGCUUUUUUAUGUCAGCUUUUACCUGAUUUAUUGACCAAGUUACAAAUGAGUUGAGGGGAACGGUAUUGUUCAUGAUGAAUCUUUAAACGUGUCGAAGUGUAUUGAUAUUCCUUGAUAGUGGAAUAUAUAUGAAACUCUAAGACUUUAUGGCUAUAUUCCAUUUUUAUUAGGCUCUUUUGUAAAUUUGAAUCGGUAGUAUGUGAAAGGGAGGAAAUAAAAAUAAUCAUAACGUGUAAUGAAAUCCAUGCAUCAUGCUUUUAGAAAGUAAUUGAUAACAUCGAAAUGAACUUUUUCUAGGACAUAAAAUUUAAAUUAUUUUUCAAACAAUAUGAUUUUGUUUACUUUUGGGGCAGUUCACUCUCCACAGAGAAAAACUUUAAAAGAUCUAAAUGAAGAAAUCAGUUUGCAUCCUCAGCAACUCGUUUAUGCACACCGUAAAAACGCGGUUUAAAUUUGUGAUAUUUGAACUUGAGUUGAUAACUUUUACGCACAUAAGUCAUUCUGGAUGGAUGAUAAAGACAAUCGAAAAAUUACUGAAAUAUCUAUUUGCAGAAUCUUCAUUUUCUUAUAUCGGUGAUUGUUAAAUAUAGAUUUAUUUUAUUCAAGAUACUAACAAUUUGCUUGAUUUAUCGUACAAAGGUGAUAUAAAAUCGUAGGUUGUUAUAUUACAGUACAAGUGAAAAGAGUUGUUAUUGAUUUUACAUGAAAUACAUUAAUGGGAGUAAUCAUGGCAGUACGCAGCGGUGGGGGCAGGGUUAAUUACCCGUCAAAAAAUUUGAAUACAUUUGGUUGUUUUUACUGAUUCUUCUUUUUUCAAAAUUCACCAAAGGUAUGGAUGAAAUCCUUCAAUAUCACUUUACAAAAUGCAAAAUGCUCGCUUUCAUUUUUCUUUUCAGAAAAAGUUUACACGUCCUGCCCUCAGCCAAUUUUUGCGUACGGCCAUGAAAAAAACGUAUGCAACUGACUUUACACAAAAAUGUGAACUUAUCAUCAUGCCAUGAUAACGUUGAUCUAAUUCAAAAGCGUCUCCCAGAAAAAAAGGUUUAAGCAAUCGAUUUGACAUACAUGUACAUACAGAGUUAGGGUUUAAGUUAUAAUUCGAAUCUAAAUUACAAAGACAUUUUUUUUGUGUGUCAUCAGAAGCUAUUAAAUGAUUAUCAAAAUUUAGGAUUUUCAUGUACAAAACACCCCUUCAUACAAUGCGAUUUUGAAUUAUAAAAUAUUAUUCUUGGUAAAUAUGUACCCGGUGUAUUUACUUUUCGUACUAUUCCUGAAAAUGUAACUCGGUGGUCUUCUAGUACAUUCUGUAUCGCCAUUGUCUUUCUCAUUUUUGAAUUAAUGUCUUUGAUAUCUGUGAUAUCAAAACUAAUUUCCAUUAGUGAGGUGGCUGAGGUUACGUUUAUUAAUACCAAUCCCAUUGCUACUACUUGCAGUAGAAUAUAUUUAUCUAUCAAUUUUCUUUUGUGAUAUUGGAUUUUUGAAUUUUUAUUUAUGAAUGCAUCUGGUGAUAUGGCUUGUAUUCUUUUUUAAAGUUUUAAUAAAAUCAAUAUUUAAAGUGUGAA